GCGGGGUAACGGCCCACCAAGGCGACGAUUGGUAGCCGGACUGAGAGGUUGAACGACCACAUUGGGACUGAGACACGGCCCAAACUCCUACGGGAGGCAGCAGUGGGGAAUAUUGCACAAUGGGGGAAACCCUGAUGCAGCGACGCCGCGUGAGUGAAGAAGUAAUUCGUUAUGUAAAGCUCUAUCAGCAGGGAAGAAAGUGACGGUACCUGAGUAAGAAGCCCCGGCUAACUAC
rnacentral:rRNA from 1 species